GGGUGCGAUCAUACCAGCACUAAUGCACCGGAUCCCAUCAGAACUCCGCAGUUAAGCGUGCUUGGGCGCGAGAGUAGUACUAGGAUGGGUGACCUCCUGGGAAGUCCUCGUGUUGCACCCC